AAGUUCACCAGUACUACAUACGCAUAUCUUCGAUCAUUUCUGCUCUACUCCGUAGAACUACUGUGACCGAGCCGAGAAAAUAACGGAAAACCAUUGCGAUGGAAGCUUACCUAGUGUACUUAAUGGUUCUCGUCGCAUUCCUGGCUGCAAUUUUAUCCGGGUCUGUAGCACAAGAUAGCCAGAUAAGGGAUGCUUCGUCAAGAGACAUUCUUGAUUCUGUUUUGGGGGAAGCUAAUAAUGUAGUAUAAAAUUCAAGAUUAGACUUCACUCCACAGUGAAAUCCAAAGACUACCUAACAUUCGCUAAGAAGUCCUAUUUAAUGAACGAUUGUGAAAUCAAUAUUCUUUGCAAAAUUUAUGUCUAGAUGCAAAUAAAACAAUUAUUAAAUUAAGUA